CUGUCUCUAAGCCUAGGGACACAGAUGAUGGAGACAUCAUCAUCAUCAGCAGCAGUGAUAGUUUCUGUGCCUCCUCCUUCUUCUUCAUACAACAACAAUUAUCAUCAGUACCCAGUGGAGGCAGAAGAUCAGGAUCAGCAGCUUAUUCACAUUAAGAUGGAGGGUCAUCGUCCUAUUCCUCCUCCCCAGUUUUAUCAGACGACGUCGACUAUGGGGUAUGCUAAUGUUUCAGUGUUGAAUUCUAACUACCUCAAGGUUACACAUGAAUUGCUCGAUGAAGUUGUCAAUGUCAAGUAUGCACUCACACAUCAAGUAACCG
rnacentral:lncRNA from 1 species